UAGGCUUGACAUCCUAUUAAUAAUUUAGAGAUAAGUUAGUGCUAGUUUACUAGAAAAUAGUGACAGGUGCUGCACGGCUGUCGUCAGCUCGUGUCGUGAGAUGUUGGGUUAAGUCCCGCAACGAGCGCAACCCUCGUCGUUAGUUGCUAACAGUUCGGCUGAGCACUCUAACGAGACUGCCUGGGUAACCAGGAGGAAGGUGAGGACGACGUCAAGUCAUCAUGGCCCUUAUGGCUAGGGCUACACACGUGCUACAAUGGGGCGUACAGAGUGUUGCGAUACCGCGAGGUGGAGCUAAUCACUUAAAGCGUCUCUCAGUUCGGAUUGGAGUCUGCAACUCGACUCCAUGAAGCUGGAAUCACUAGUAAUCGUAGAUCAGCAAUGCUACGGUGAAUACGUUCCCGGGUCU
rnacentral:rRNA from 1 species